GGCGUAAAGGGCUCGCGGACAGUAUGGUGAGCUUGCUGUGAAAGCCCUGAUGUUAGCGGCGGACGGGUGAGUAACACGUGGGUAACCUGCCUGUAAGACUGGGAUGUGGAACUCCGGGAAACCGGGGCUAAUACCGGAUGGUGUGUUUGAACCGCAUGGUUCAAACAUAAAAGGUGGCUUGCGGCUACCACUUACAGAUGGACCCGCGGCGCAUUAGCUAGUUUAGGUGAGGUAACGGCUCACCAAGGCAACGAUGCGUAGCCGACCUGAGAGGGUGAUCGGCCCUUAACACUGGGACUGAGACACGGCCCAGACUCCUACGGGAGUGCAGCAGUAGGGCUGAAAUCUUCCGCAAUGGACGAAAGUCUGACGGAGCAACGCCGCGUGAGUGAUGAAGGUUUUCGGAUCGUAAAGCUCUGUUGUUAGGGAAGAACAUCCUCUGAGUACCGUUCGAAUAGGGCGGUACCUUGACGGUACCUAACCAGAAAGCCACGGCUAACUACGUGCCAGCAGCCGCGGUAAUACGUAGGUUUAAGGCAAGCGUUGUCCGGAAUUAUUGGGCGUAAAGGGCUCGCAGGCGGUUUCUUAAGUCUGAUGUGAAAGCCCCCGGCUCAACCGGGGAGGGUCAUUGGAAACUGGGGAACUUGAGUGCAGAAGAGGAGAGUGGAAUUCCACGUGUAGCGGUGAAAUGCGUAGAGAUGUGGAGGAACACCAGUGGCGAAGGCGACUCUACUGGUCUGUAACUGACGCUGAGGAGCGAAAGCGUGGGGAGCGAACAGGAUUAGAUACCCUGGUAGUCCACGCCGUAAACGAUGAGUGCUAAGUGUUAGGGGGUUUCCGCCCCUUAGUGCUGCAGCUAACGCAUUAAGCACUCCGCCUGGGGAGUACGGUCGCAAGACUGAAACUCAAAGGAAUUGACGGGGGCCCG
rnacentral:rRNA from 1 species